rnacentral:rRNA from 1 species
ACAAGCGGAGGAGCAUGUGGUUAAUUCGAUGAUACGCGAGGAACCUUACCUGGGCUCGAACGUAAGAUGACUGUAGGUGAAAGCUUACAUCUCUUCGGAGCAUUUUACGAGGUGCUGCAUGGUUGUCGUCAGCUCGUGCCGUGAGGUGUCGGGUUAAGUCCCAUAACGAGCGCAACCCCUACCUUUAGUUGCCAUCAGGUAAUGCUGGGGACUCUAAAGGAACUGCCUACGCAAGUAGUGAGGAAGGCGGGGAUGACGUCAAAUCAUCAUGCCCCUUAUGAUCUGGGCUACACACGUGCUACAAUGGCCGGUACAACGGGCAGCGAAGGAGCGAUCCGGAGCGAAUCCUAAAAAGCCGGUCCCAGUUCGGAUUGCAGGCUGAAACUCGCCUACAUGAAGUUGGAGUUGCUAGUAAUCGCGAAUCAGAAUGUCGCGGUGAAUGCGUUCCCGGGUCUU